rnacentral:rRNA from 1 species
AGGGUUCGAUUAUGGCUCAGGAUGAACGCUAGCGGCAGGCUUAACACAUGCAAGUCGAACGGUAACAGAAAGAGCUUGCUCUUUGCUGACGAGUGGCGAACGGGUGCGUAACACGUAUGCAACUUACCCUAUACUGGGGGAUAGCCCAGAGAAAUUUGGAUUAAUACCCUAUAAUAUCACGAGAAGGCAUCUUCUGAAUUUUAAAACUCCGGUGGUUAAGGAUGGGCAUGCGUCCCAUUAGUUAGUUGGUGAGGUAACGGCUCACCAAGACCACGAUGGGUAGGGGGUCUGAGAGGAUGAUCCCCCACACUGGUACUGAGACACGGACCAGACUCCUACGGGAGGCAGCAGUGAGGAAUAUUGGACAAUGGAGGCAACUCUGACCCAGCCAUGCCGCGUGAAGGAAGACUGCCUUAUGGGUUGUAAACUUCUUUUAUACAGGAAGAAACACUGGUAUGUAUACCAGCUUGACGGUACUAUAAGAAUAAGGACCGGCUAACUCCUUGCCAGCAGCCGCGGUAAUACGGAGGGUCCGAGCGUUAUCCGGAUUCAUUGGGUUUAAAGGGUGCGUAGGCGGAUAAAUAAGUCAGUGGUGAAAGCCCACAGCUCAACUGUGGAACUGCCAUUGAUACUGGAAUUCUUGAGUAUAGUUGAGGUUGGCGGAAUGUGUUGUGUAGCGGUGAAAUGCUUAGAGAUGACACAGAACACCGAUUGCGAAGGCAGCUGACUAAACUAUAACUGACGCUGAUGCACGAAAGCGUGGGGAUCGAACAGGAUUAGAUACCCUGGUAGUCCACGCCGUAAACGAUGAUUACUCGUUGUUCGCGAUACAUUGCGAGUGACUGAGCGAAAGCAUUAAGUAAUCCACCUGGGGAGUACGAUCGCAAGAUUGAAACUCAAAGGAAUUGACGGGGGCCCGCACAAGCGGAGGAACAUGUGGUUUAAUUCGAUGAUACGCGAGGAACCUUACCUGGGCUUAAAUGUAGAUUGACAGGACUGGAAACGGUUUUUUCUUCGGACAAUUUACAAGGUGCUGCAUGGUUGUCGUCAGCUCGUGCCGUGAGGUGUCGGGUUAAGUCCCAUAACGAGCGCAACCCCUAUUCUUAGUUGCCAGCACAUAAUGGUGGGGACUCUAAGAAAACUGCCCGCGUAAGCGGUGAGGAAGGUGGGGAUGACGUCAAAUCAUCACGGCCCUUACGUCCUGGGCUACACACGUGCUACAAUGGCGCAUACAAAGGGCAGCUACCUGGUGACAGGAUGCUAAUCUCUAAAGUAUGUCUCAGUUCGGAUUGAAGUCUGCAACUCGACUUCAUGAAGCUGGAAUCGCUAGUAAUCGCGCAUCAGCCAUGGCGCGGUGAAUACGUUCCCGGGCCUUGUACACACCGCCCGUCAAGCCAUGGAAGCUGGGGGUACCUGAAGUCCGUUACCGCAAGGAGCUGCCUAGGGUAAAACUAGUAACUGGGGCUAAGUCGUAACAAGGUAACC